rnacentral:RNase_P_RNA from 1 species
UAUGCGGACCGGAAUGCCGCCCGGAAACAGAGACACCGGGAGGAAAGUCCGGGCCCGGUUACGGGGUACCGGUUAAUUGCCGGGAGGCGGUCCCACCGUCUACAGAAAGUGCAACAGAAAGAUACCGCCCUCCGACCGGUAACGGCCGGGGGGUAAGGGUGAAAUGGUGAGGUAAGAGCUCACCGCUUCCGCCGAGAGGCUGAAGGCACGGUAAACCUUGCCCCGGGCAAAACCAAGCAGCAGAUCAACUGUAUGGAUAUCCCAUACAGUCUGCGGGUAGGUUGCUGGAAGCUCAAUAGAGCUCAAGACAGAUGGCAUUCGUAAACAGAACCCGGCUUACCGGUCCGCAUCUUUU